UCUUAUAGUAAUUAGAACCCUAUCUAUCUACUUCACGUGGUCACCUUAUAUGUGCUUUAUAGUGUGUACUUGACAUACAAAGUCUACACUAUACCGUUUGCACUAUAACAAUAGACAAAAUCAUUAUGUAAUACUCAAUGCAUGUUGGCAUAUACCUACAUAAUGAAUAAGCGGAUCUCUGCGUCGAUCCUCGGGGACUUUGAACGUUACGCUGAAUGAUGUAAUGUAACGACAGCGUAAGUGUACUCUCCCGUCACAAGUCGUUACAGUAGAGCUAAACCCCUCCGCUACAUUGACACUAUUUAUAGAGUGGAGCCGUCACUUUUCACUCAGAGCUAUUAAACAGAAAAGGAACAAAUUCGACCUAAGCCAUCGAUUAUAAUCCUCCUACGUAUAGUUUGCAACGCAGUUUUGUAAUGUUGAUAAAGACGUGAAUGUCUAUUUCCGUAUAUGCGAGGACAGAUGCUGUGAAUGAUGUAUCAUAGAAUUCCGAAAAAAUAAAAAAGAUUCAAUACC